AGGGCAAGUCUGGUGCCAGCAGCCGCGGUAAUUCCAGCUCCAAUAGCGUAUAUNAAGUUGUUGCAGUUAAAAAGCUCGUAGUUGAAUUUCGGGGUUAGUAGGUUGGUCGUGCCUCAGGUAUGUACUGAUCUCACUGAUUCCUCCUUCCUGAUGAACCGUAAUGCCAUUAAUUUGGUGUUGCGGGGAAACUGGACUGUUACUUUGAAAAAAUUAGAGUGUUUAAAGCAGGCUAACGCUUGAAUACAUUAGCAUGGAAUAAUGAAAUAGGACGUUCGAUCCUAUUUUGUUGGUUUCUAGGAUUGACGUAAUGAUUAAUAGGGAUAGUUGGGGGCAUUAGUAUUCAAUUGUCAGAGGUGAAAUUCUUGGAUUUAUUGAAGACUAACUACUGCGAAAGCAUUUGCCAAGGAUGUUUUCAUUAAUCAAGAACGAAAGUUAGGGGAUCGAAGACGAUCAGAUACCGUCGUAGUCUUAACCAUAAACUAUGCCGACUAGGGAUCGGAUGAUGUUAAUUUUUUAAUGACUCAUUCGGCGCCUUACGGGAA
rnacentral:rRNA from 1 species